GAUGAACGCUGACAGAAUGCUUAACACAUGCAAGUCGACUCGAGUCUUCGGACUUGGGUGGCGGACGGGUGAGUAACGCGUAAAGAACUUGCCUCAUAGUCUGGGACAACAUCUGGAAACGGAUGCUAAUACCGGAUAUUAUGCUUUCUUCGCAUGGAGGAAGUAUGAAAGCUAUAUGCGCUAUGAGAGAGCUUUGCGUCCCAUUAGCUAGUUGGUGAGGUAACGGCCCACCAAGGCGAUGAUGGGUAGCCGGCCUGAGAGGGUGAACGGCCACAAGGGGACUGAGACACGGCCCUUACUCCUACGGGAGGCAGCAGUGGGGAAUAUUGGACAAUGGACCAAAAGUCUGAUCCAGCAAUUCUGUGUGCACGAUGACGUUUUUCGGAAUGUAAAGUGCUUUCAGUCGGGAAGAAGCAAGUGACGGUACCGACAGAAGAAGCGACGGCUAAAUAC
rnacentral:rRNA from 1 species